rnacentral:rRNA from 1 species
AGUGAACGCUGGCGGUAGGCCUAACACAUGCAAGUCGAGCGGCAGCACAGUAAGAGCUUGCUCUUACGGGUGGCGAGUGGCGGACGGGUGAGGAAUACAUCGGAAUCUACUUUUUCGUGGGGGAUAACGUAGGGAAACUUACGCUAAUACCGCAUACGACCUACGGGUGAAAGCAGGGGAUCUUCGGACCUUGCGCGAUUGAAUGAGCCGAUGUCGGAUUAGCUAGUUGGCGGGGUCAAGGCCCACCAAGGCAACGAUCCGUAGCUGGGCUGAGAGGGUGAUCCGACAAACUGGAACAGAGGCACCGGCCAGACGCCUAAGGGAGGGAGGCGGAGGGAAUAUUCGGACAAGGGCGGAAACCUUAAGCAACAAAGACGGGGGGGGGAAGAAGGGCUUUGGAGUGUAAAACCCUUUUUUUUGGGAAAAAAAAAAGGGAAGGUAACAACGCACGGUUUGAAGGGAACCAAAAAAAAAGCCACGGGUAACUUCGUG